CCCUUGGGCGGUCUCUCUCGGUCGGCUACGCGUCCAUCUGCCCUGUUGACCGCUUCCUCACCUUUUGCUGCGGACGGGUGAGUCACAUCUGGGCUCCUGCCUGUAAGACUGGGAUAACUUCUGGAAACCGAAGCUAAUACCGGAUAGGAUCUUCUCCUUCAUGGGAGAUGAUUGAAAGAUGGUUUCGGCUAUCACUUACCGAUGGGCCCGCGGUGCAUUAGCUAGUUUGUGAGGUAACGGCUCACCAUGGCUACGAUGCAUAGCCUACCUGAGAGGGGGCUCGGCCUAACCGGGACUGAGCCAGGGCCAACCCUUAUACGGGAGGCAGCAGUAGGGAAUCUUCCGCAAUGGACGAAAGUCUGACGGAGCAACGCCGCGUGAGUGAUGAAGGCUUUCGGGUCGUAAAACUCUGUUGUUAGGGAAGAACAAGUACGAGAGUAACUGCUCGUACCUUGACGGUACCUAACCAGAAAGCCACGGCUAACUACGUGCCAGCAGCCGCGGUAAUACGUAGGUGGCAAGCGUUAUCCGGAAUUAUUGGGCGUAAAGCGCGCGCAGGCGGUUUCUUAAGUCUGAUGUGAAAGCCCACGGCUCAACCGUGGAGGGUCAUUGGAAACUGGGGAACUUGAGUGCAGAAGAGAAAAGCGGAAUUCCACGUGUAGCGGUGAAAUGCGUAGAGAUGUGGAGGAACACCAGUGGCGAAGGCGGCUUUUUGGUCUGUAACUGACGCUGAGGCGCGAAAGCGUGGGGAGCAACAGGAUUAGAUACCCUGGUAGUCCACGCCGUAACGAUGAGUGCUAAGUGUUAGAGGGUUUCCGCCCUUUAGUGCUGCAGCUAACGCAUUAAGCACUCCGCCUGGGGAGUACGGUCGCAAGACUGAAACUCAAGGAAUUGACGGGGGCCCGCACAAGCGGUGGAGCAUGUGGUUUAAUUCGAAGCAACGCGAGAACCUUACCAGGUCUUGACAUCCUCUGACACUCUGGAGAUAGAGCGUUCCCCU
rnacentral:rRNA from 1 species